UACGAAGGGUGCAAGCGUUACUCGGAAUUACUGGGCGUAAAGCGUGCGUAGGUGGUUCGUUAAGUCUGAUGUGAAAGCCCUGGGCUCAACCUGGGAAUGGCAUUGGAAACUGGCGACCUAGAGUGCGGUAGAGGGUAGUGGAAGUUCCCGGUGUAGCAGUGAAAUGCGUAGAGAUCGGGAGGAACACCUGCGGUGUAGACGGCUUUCUGGACCAUUGUUGACGCUGAGACACGAAAGCGUGGGUAGCAAACAGG
rnacentral:rRNA from 1 species